CUGAUAUUUUCUCCUAAUUCUCUCUCCUCUUCAAAAGUUGAUCCUCAACUCAGUAUUUUCUGAGCUCUUUAGUUUUCUCUACAGGAAAUUCUAGAAUUUUCUUACAAAGAGAGACUCAAAGGUUUAAGAUCUUCUCAAUAACGCACUCUGUGCUGGUUUUUGUGUCAGAAUUUAAUGCGUGUUUAAUAAGGCGUAAUUAAUUUACUGUUGUGAUCAGAUUACGGACGUUAAUACUUAGGAUUUAAUUUUGAUUGAUUCAUAUAAUCUCCAAGGAGAUUGAGAUAAUCUUUGACCUGAGCCAGAUUGUAUAAAAUUCGAGUUUGUUAAGCUGAUUCAGUGAAUUCGAACCACUGCAAGUGUUUCACUGUAAUCUUUCUUUUGAUCAGUAAUGCUGGAAUUUUUGUAAUUUGCUCAGUGACAUACGCGGGUGGUUUGUGCUGUGUUUGACUUUCCUGCAGUAAUGGCGCAGAGUAAUUGGGAAGCAGAUAAGAUGUAUGCAACUUCCUGUGGCUAGGUUCAUUGUUUUUCUU